rnacentral:piRNA from 1 species
UGACAGUCAAAAUGGCAAAUGGUGCCAGAC